CAGUCGCCGCGGUAAUACGGAGGGUGCAAGCGUUAAUCGGAAUUACUGGGCGUAAAGCGCACGCAGGCGGUCUGACAAGUCAGAUGUGAAAUCCCCGGGCUUAACCUGGGAACUGCAUUUGAAACUGUCAGGCUGGAGUCUUGUAGAGGGGGGUAGAAUUCCAGGUGUAGCGGUGAAAUGCGUAGAGAUCUGGAGGAAUACCGGUGGCGAAGGCGGCCCCCUGGACAAAGACUGACGCUCAGGUGCGAAAGCGUGGGGAGCAAACAGGAUUAGAUACCCCAGUAGUACCUGUCUCUUAUAA
rnacentral:rRNA from 1 species